rnacentral:rRNA from 1 species
UACGUAGGGUGCAAGCGUUGUCCGGAAUUAUUGGGCGUAAAGAGCUUGUAGGCGGUUUGUCGCGUCUGCUGUGAAAAUCCGGGGCUCAACCCCGGACUUGCAGUGGGUACGGGCAGACUAGAGUGUGGUAGGGGAGACUGGAAUUCCUGGUGUAGCGGUGGAAUGCGCAGAUAUCAGGAGGAACACCGAUGGCGAAGGCAGGUCUCUGGGCCAUUACUGACGCUGAGAAGCGAAAGCAUGGGGAGCGAACAGG